UACGUAGGUGGCAAGCGUUGUCCGGAUUUAUUGGGUUUAAAGGGUGCGUAGGCGGCCUUGUAAGUCAGUGCUGAAAUAUCCCGGCUUAACCGGGAGGGUGGCAUUGAUACUGCAGGGCUUGAGUAAAGUUGAGGUCGGCGGAAUUGACGGUGUAGCGGUGAAAUGCUUAGAUAUCGUCAAGAACACCGAUAGUGAAGACAGCUAACUAAGCUUUAACUGACGCUGAGGCACGAAAGUGUGGGGAUCAAACAGG
rnacentral:rRNA from 1 species